AGUCACUAGAAAAAUAUAACUUUUUAUUUUAGAAAAUAUAUAUUUUAAGUUACUGAAAAAUUAAAUUUUUAUUUAAGAAAGUAAAAAUUAUAAAUUUUUAUUUAAGAAAUUAAUAAUAUUUAUUGUGUAUUGAAUGAUCAAAUAACUGAGCAAAUUUGAAAAACAAAUUAUUCUUGUAUGUUUUCUCUUUACAAAAGCAAAAAUAAUAAGGGACACUUAUUACUUAUUACUUUUGCUUUAAGUCAAAAGUCUGUGUCAGUUUAUGAUUUCUAUAUAGUGCACGUUCAUAAAGAUAUACUUGUAAUUUUCUUCAGAGCUACUCUACCUGUGUAUCAAUUUCUAUGAAACUUCCUCUUUAAUAGUCAUUUUAUUUCCAUAAUUUUUUUUUGGGGGGGGGUUAAUUUAAAUGUUUCAUAGCUAAUGGUGUUUUUAAGAUACAGUGUAACGUACCAGAAUUCCCAGCCAUUUUAAAAGUACAUUUCUUCAGCUAAUGCUUUAAAAUACUAAUAUUUUUCCCAUUGGAAAAAAUAAUGUCAACUAAUUGAUUAAUAUUUUGGUUUCAUGUGUCUCGUGUAAUGUGAAUACCAAAUUUUAAUCUAUAAUAACAAAGUAUGUAGAAAUAUUCUGAGAAAAGUCAAUGGAAAUUAGAUGCUAUUCAAGCAAAACAAAUGCAUCUUGCAUAUAUCAUUUUUAAGUUGGAAGGAAGGAGGAAUUAUUUUUUCAGUUAAUUAUUAAUAAUUAAAAAAGCCCUAAAUUUUACUGUGUAUUAGUAUGCUAUUUACUAAACUUCAUUAAACCAAAAGGAAAACUUGAAAGAUACACUGAACAGCAUUGAUUUUAUGCUUCUUUAUAAAUCGGCAUUUUAUUAAGCACAUUUUUAAUUGCAUAAAAAUUAAUGAUACAGAACACCAUUUAUUACAGAUUAUCUGCAUUAUUAAAACUGCAUUAAUUAAAGAUGAUCUUUUCAGUGUCUCUUAAGACUUCCAGAAAACAUGAUAUUUUAAUGAUUCAUUAUUUGUAUAUUGGUAGCUUUGUUCUGUUGCUUCUAUCAACUUUAAAAAAUGCCUUUAAAAAAAAUCAAAAUGACAAAGUGUGAUUCUAAAUUUGUCAAAAUUUCUAAAAGCUCUGCAUUUUUAUCUACGAUUUUUUCUUCAAUGUAUCAGUUGGUCAAAAUGUAUCUUAUAUACAUCUUAUAAACCAUUGUAGAUCCACAGAAUAUCUUAAUUUCUAAUUCACUACACACUUUAACCUAUCAGAAGUGAAGAAAAUCAGUUUGAAAUCUUACAAAGUCUUAAGGUGAAAUUAUUUAUACAGAUUGUGAUAAAAAUAGGUUACUUCAUUUUUGAACUGUAUUGCUGCAUAACUGUGUUGAACUGUAUUGCUGCAUUACUGUGUUAUUGUUGUAGGUAUUAAUAGACUUGACAGAAAAUUGUACUAAAGUUUAGUAAAACAAAUGGUUACUAUAAUAAGGAAAUGGCUAAAUUGUCAAAUAAUGUUUAAUAUCAUGUUUAGCAUUAGUAUUAUAUAAACGAUCAUCAUUUAGUCCUGGGUUACUUAAAGAACAUUGUAUAACAUUGUAUUGUAUUAAUAAUACAAAGUGAUAUAAUUAUAAGAGGGUACUUUUAUUAAUUGUCCAUUAAUGUCACAAGUAUUCAUAACGAGUAAUUCUACUCCAUCUAUUUGUAAGAACAUGUCAAAAAAUACUACUACUAUUAAUGAGAUGACCUUAAGCUUUUGUUUUGUAAAUAUGUUAACGUAAAAUUGUAUAAUAUAUGGUCUAUAUGACUUUCUCUAUACAUUUAAUUUUUUUUUUUUUUUUUUUGCCAGUGGAGAUUUAAUGGUAAUUUUAUCACUUUCUUUUUGAAGGAAAAGUCCAUUAGUCUCCCCCAUAAUACGAGAUACUUAUGCUGCUUUGUGCAAUGUAUUGCAGUCACCUGUUUUGGAAAUUACACGUAAAGAAAGAGAGCACUAUGGCGUGAAGAAAGAGAGCACUAUGGCCGUUCUUGAUGGCAAACAUGUCAUCAUUCAUGUUUAUAUUAUAAAUGUUUUAAAAUAAAUAAUGGGACUUCCACACACUACUCCCAUGAGCUCCACCACGAACUGGAUCUUCAUAUUACAAUUACAGAGGUUCAUUCAGCCAUAGCUGAUGCAAAAUAUAAAUUCAUCAUUGUUGAUAUUGGGAGCUGCUCGGUAUCAGAGUGAUGAAGGAAUUUUCUUCAAUUCCACCUUUGGUAAAGCUCUUCAUGAAGAAGUGCUGAAUAUACCUAAAAGUUCUCCCAGCUUAUGGAUCACAACAUUUAUUCCCAUAUACUUUCAUUAAGGGUGAAGCUUUCCACCAUAAAAGCAAUUUAGCCAUAUUCUGAUCAAGAACUGGGUUAUUAUUAUUCAGAGCACACAGAUGGAUCAAGAAUGAAUUUGGAAUCAUGGUUGCCAGAUUAGGAAUUCUGCAAAAACCAAUUGUAGCUGGUCUCACGACAAGUCAGUAUAUUGGGAAGGCCACUGUCUGCAUCCACAAUUAUUUAAGUGGUAAACAAGAAUGUAUGCCAGCAAAAGAAGAUGAUAUUGUCCUCCUGGCUUUGCAGAUACAGACGAUGGCAGUGGCAGUAUACUAACAGAAACAUAAGAAUAUAGCGACUCGUUCCGCCAGAAAUGUAGCUGCUAUAACUUAUUUCAUAUACUAAUUAUAUUAGUGAAGGGGCUGUAACCGUAGCAGUAUGCUCCAGUUUCAAAAGAUAUUUAAAAACUAUAUUUUAUAUAUAUGUAUAUAAUGUUUCAUAAAAACAAAUUACUAAAGUUAAAUUCCCUUGUGACAAUGCUGCAAGGAAUGAAACAUGAAUUGCCAUAUGAUAAUUUAUCUAAAUUAUAUUUUAUUUAUGAUUAUUUUAAUCUGCACAUAUAUGUAAAUAUUAAAUAUUUUUCAGCAUCAAAGUGUAUAUACUGAAAAUUUACUUUAGAGUGAUAUAUAUGUGGAAGAGAAUAACCGAUGAAAGCAAAAAAAUAUAGCUACAUGGUAUAAUUAAUUUCUACAUAUAGGAAGGAAGCAGUCACCCUAAAUAAUAUGCAUGUUUGUCAUCACUGUGUGUGUUACGAAAGUGAACUUAAAUGUGUAUAUAUAAACCACAAAUGUGGAUUUUUUUUUUUUUUUUUUUAAACGGUCCAUUGCUUUUAGUUAAUGUCAAUUUUUCUCAAAUAAACUUUGUAGUAACUGAA
rnacentral:lncRNA from 1 species